AAGCCAUGGUGGGGGCACCUUCGCAAAAGAUCCUUGAAUCGCUCCUAUGCAUCGUAGAGUGUCUCUAAGUCCAUCUGCACAAAAGAAGAAAUAUCAUUACGCAACUU
rfam:Gossypium hirsutum cultivar TM-1 chromosome 2, whole genome shotgun sequence